rnacentral:rRNA from 1 species
UACAGAGGUCUCAAGCGUUGUUCGGAUUCAUUGGGCGUAAAGGGUGCGUAGGCGGCGCGGUAAGUCGGGUGUGAAAUCUCGGGGCUUAACUCCGAAACUGCAUUCGAUACUACCGUGCUUGAGGACUGGAGAGGAGACUGGAAUUUACGGUGUAGCGGUGAAAUGCGUAGAUAUCGUAAGGAAGACCAGUGGCGAAGGCGAAUCUCUGGACAAUUACUGACACUGAGGCACGAAGGCCAGGGGAGCAAACGGG